rnacentral:sRNA from 1 species
UGCCCACCAUUUUGGUUAAGCCCAUACGGACAGGCGGGGCGUUUGCCGC